GGUGUGGUGGCCUAGUGGUAAGGCGUUGGUCUCGUAAACCAAAGAUCAUGGGUUCAAUCCCCAUCCACACCU